UACGGAGGGUGCGAGCGUUGUCCGGAAUCACUGGGCGUAAAGGGCGCGUAGGUGGCCUGUGGAAGUCUGCGGUGAAAGUCCGGCGCUCAACGCCGGAUCGGCCGUGGAUACUCUCGGGCUUGAGCUUACUAGAGGCAGAUGGAAUUCCGGGUGUAGCGGUGGAAUGCGUAGAGAUCCGGAAGAACACCGGUGGCGAAGGCGGUUCUCUGGGCCUUACCUGACGCUGAGGAGCGAAAGCGUGGGGAGCGAACAGG
rnacentral:rRNA from 1 species